GACCCCGUAGCUCAGCGGUAGAGCGUGAGAUUCCAGUAUCCGUGUAGCAGCGUUUCCUCAAGGUCAUCCGUUCAAUCCGGGUCGGGGUCA